GAGUUUGAUCAUGGCUCAGAUUGAACGCUGGCGGAAUGCUUUACACAUGCAAGUCGAACGGCAGCACGGGUGCUUGCACCUGGUGGCGAGUAGCGAACGGGUGAGUAAUACAUAGGAACAUACCCAGUAAUGGGGGAUAACGCCGAGAAAUCGGUGCUAAUACCGCAUACGCCCUACGGGGGAAAGCGGGGGAUCUUCGGACCUCGCGUUAUUGGAUUGGCCUAUGUCUGAUUAGCUAGUUGGUGAGGUAAAGGCUCACCAAGGCUUCGAUCAGUAGCUGGUCUGAGAGGAUGAUCAGCCACACUGGAACUGAGACACGGUCCAGACUCCUACGGGAGGCAGCAGUGGGGAAUUUUGGACAAUGGGCGAAAGCCUGAUCCAGCCAUUCCGCGUGAGUGAAGAAGGCCUCGGGUUGUAAAGCUCUUUCGGCAGGAACGAAAUGGUCACGGUUAAUAACUGUGACUUCUGACGGUACCUGAAGAAGAAGCACCGGCUAACUACGUGCCAGCAGCCGCGGUAAUACGUAGGGUGCGAGCGUUAAUCGGAAUUACUGGGCGUAAAGCGUGCGCAGGCGGUUUUGUAAGUCAGAUGUGAAAGCCCCGGGCUUAACCUGGGAAUGGCGUUUGAAACUACAAGGCUAGAGUGUG
rnacentral:rRNA from 1 species